AGCGAACGUUUGCGGCGGGCCUAACACAUGCAAGUCGAACGGGCUAGCAAUAGUCAGUGGCGCACGGGUGCGUAACACGUGGGUAAUCAACCCUUCAGCUCGGGAUAACGCCUUGAAAGGGGCGCUAAUACCGGAUACGACGCGAGGAGCUUCGGCUGCUUGCGGGAAAGCCUCGCAAGGGGGCACUGAAGGACGAGCCUGCGGCCCAUCAGCUAGUUGGUGACGGUAAGAGCUCACCAAGGCGAAGACGGGUAGCUGGUCUGAGAGGAUGAUCAGCCACACUGGAACUGAGACACGGUCCAGACUCCUACGGGAGGCAGCAGUGGGGAAUAUUGCGCAAUGGGCGAAAGCCUGACGCAGCCACGCCGCGUGAGCGAUGAA
rnacentral:rRNA from 1 species